rnacentral:lncRNA from 1 species
CGGCGACCGGCGUCGCUGCGAAGGAUGCUGGGAGUUCAGCCAACCCUGGGGCUGCAAAGGACGCUGGGAGUUUCACUGAUGGCAUCGCUGCAAAGGAUGCUGGGAGUUCGGCCAAUGGCAUCACUGCAAAGCAUGCUGGGAGUUUGGCUGUCCAAGAGGAUGCAAAGGAUGCUGGGAGCUCGGCCAAUGGCAUCUCUGCAAAGGAUGCUGGGAGUUCGGUCAACUUGGAGGCUGCAAAGGAUGCUGGGAGUUUGGCCAACGCGGAGGCUGCAAAGGAUGCUGGGAGAUCGGUCAACUUGGAGGCUGCAAAGGAUGCUGGGAGUUCGGCCAACGCGGAGGCUGCAAAGGAUGCUGGGAGCUCGGCCAAUGGCAUCGCUGCAAAGGAUGCUGGGAGUUCGGCCAACGCGG